UUCCUCCCCUUCCCCCAAAUUGAGAUGUUAACCAAUGGAGUUAGUCUAACUAGACUAAAAGGAAUCUCCAAGGGAAAGAGUUUCCCCAACUUCUCCAAAGUUUCCAUUUUGGGGAUCCCAGUACCCACCACAGCCAAGACUUGUCUGGACUAAUCCUCAGGCUGUCCUGCUGCUAUUUAAGCCUAUUUGCCCUUGUUCCAUCCAGGCUGAAAGAAGAGCUGUACAGGGACCCAGGGAAGAUGCAUUUUCCAAUCCAAUCAAGAGUUCUUAAAUAGAAGAUUCCAUCACAGGAUUAUAUAUUUAGACCUGGAGGGGAUCUGAAAGGUCAACUAAACCAACCCACCCUAUUUUUCAGAUGAGUAAAAGAAAGGUAGAGAGACUUGUCCAAGUUCACCUGGUUUGUAAGUAGCCAAGUCAGGAUUCAAAUUUGGCUUCCCUAACUUCAACUCCCUCUAUCUGGGAUAUUAAACAAAGUCAGAAUAGAGAGGAUGAUCUCCAG
rnacentral:lncRNA from 1 species